UUUUAUCCAAAGCGACUUACAGAGCACAUAUUACAGGGACAAUCCCCCCGGAACAACCUGGAGUUAAGUGCCUUGCUCAAGGACACAAUGGUGGUGGCCAUGGGGUUCGAACCAGUGACCUUCUGAUUAACAGCCCUGUGCUUUAGGCUAAUGCAAGGCUUUCUCAGCAAAUAUUUGUAUAUGCAAUUAAUUAAUCGGGACACCAUGUAAUUAAUUCGAUUAAAAUGUUUUAUGGAUUGACAGUCCUUAUAUAUAUAUAUAUAUGGGGGGCGGGUCGCGUGAUAUGAGGCCCAAGCAAUCAUCUGUGUUCUGUAACUGCUUUCGGGUCCUUGAAUAAUGUAUAAGGUGCAAGUAAGGGCAGCUGGAUGUCUCUCCGGUACCCUCCUAGGGAGUUAGCGCCCUACGCAGACUGUUUAGUCAGCUAAUAAGGAGCGGCGGUACUGCAACCGCGAGAGUUUGUUCCGAGACAAAUAUUCAAGAUGGUUGCGCACUUGUUUACUGCUUAUAAGGAGCGGCGGUACUGCAACCGCGAGAGUUUGUUCCGAGACAAAUAUUCAAGAUGGCUGCGCACUUGUCUAUCUGGCCCAAAAGGGCGGGACCAGAGUCACAGCUCUCAUUAGCAUACAGAUAAGCUCCAAGGCCGCAAACUUUUAAAGAAACGGACGCCAUCAGAGGAAUACUGUGACUUAAGAUGUUUCCCCUGUGUACUGCCCAUCAGCUCUGAGCACUUGACUCACCUGCUCCAAAACUCAGUGGUUCCAACUUUUAAAUGUGUAAUAUGAGAUUAUUUAUUUUUCUGUUAUGUCAGAUUUCAAGUUACAAUGUCAUGUCUUGAAAUGA